rnacentral:rRNA from 1 species
GAUGAACGCUGGCGGCGUGCCUAAUACAUGCAAGUCGAGCGAAUGGAUUAAGAGCUUGCUCUUAUGAAGUUAGCGGCGGACGGGUGAGUAACACGUGGGUAACCUGCCCAUAAGACUGGGAUAACUCCGGGAAACCGGGGCUAAUACCGGGUAACAUUUUGAACCGCAUGGCUCGAAAUUGAAAGGCGGCUUCGGCUGUCACCUAUGGAUGGACCCGCGUCGCAUUAGCUAGUUGGUGAGGUAACGGCUCACCAAGGCAACGAUGCGUAGCCGACCUGAGAGGGUGAUCGGCCACACUGGGACUGAGACACGGCCCAGACUCCUACGGGAGGCAGCAGUAGGGAAUCUUCCGCAAUGGACGAAAGUCUGACGGAGCAACGCCGCGUGAGUGAUGAAGGCUUUCGGGUCGUAAAACUCUGUUGUUAGGGAAGAACAAGUGCUAGUUGAAUAAGCUGGCACCUUGACGGUACCUAACCAGAAAGCCACGGCUAACUACGUGCCAGCCGCCGCAGUAA